ACCCUUUAAUGUUUGAUGUUCUAACGUGGACCCGUGAUCCGGGUUGCGGACAGUGUCUGGUGGGUAGUUUGACUGGGGCGGUCUCCUCCUAAAGAGUAACGGAGGAGCACGAAGGUUGGCUAAUCCUGGUCGGACAUCAGGAGGUUAGUGCAAUGGCAUAAGCCAGCUUGACUGCGAGCGUGACGGCGCGAGCAGGUGCGAAAGCAGGUCAUAGUGAUCCGGUGGUUCUGAAUGGAAGGGCCAUCGCUCAACGGAUAAAAGGUACUCCGGGGAUAACAGGCUGAUACCGCCCAAGAGUUCAUAUCGACGGCGGUGUUUGGCACCUCGAUGUCGGCUCAUCACAUCCUGGGGCUGAAGUAGGUCCCAAGGGUAUGGCUGUUCGCCAUUUAAAGUGGUACGCGAGCUGGGUUUAGAACGUCGUGAGACAGUUCGGUCCCUAUCUGCCGUGGGCGCUGGAGAACUGAGGGGGGCUGCUCCUAGUACGAGAGGACCGGAGUGGACGCAUCACUGGUGUUCGGGUUGUCAUGCCAAUGGCACUGCCCGGUAGCUAAAUGCGGAAGAGAUAAGUGCUGAAAGC
rnacentral:rRNA from 2 species